CACCAGACUCCUACGGGAGGCAGCAGUGGGGAAUAUUGGACAAUGGGGGGAACCCUGACCCAGCGACGCCGCGUGAGUGAAGAAGUAUCUCGGUAUGUAAAGCUCUAUCAGCAGGGAAGAAAGAAAUGACGGUACCUGACUAAGAAGCCCCGCCUAACUACGUGCCAGCAGCCGCGGUAAUACGUAGGGGGCAAGCGUUAUCCGGAUUUACUGGGUGUAAAGGGAGCGUAGACGGCGGCGCAAGUCCGGAGUGAAAGCCCGCGGCCCAACCGUGGGACUGCUCUGGAAACUGUGCGGCUUGAGUACUGGAGAGGCAGACGGAAUUCCUGGUGUAGCGGUGAAAUGCGUAGAUAUUAGGAGGAACACCAGUGGCGAAGGCGGUCUGCUGGACAGCAACUGACGGUGAGGCGCGAAAGCGUGGGGAGCAAACAGGAUUAGAUACCCCAGUA
rnacentral:rRNA from 1 species